rnacentral:tRNA from 1 species
CGGGGCGUAGCGCAGCCCGGUAGCGCACUCGCUUUGGGAGCGAGGGGUCGUGGGUUCAAAUCCCGCCGCCCCGACCA